GGAAGGAUCAUUACUAAAUUGUCAACACGAGUUGUUGCUGGUCCUCAAAUGGGGGCACGUGCACACUCUGUUUGCACAUCCACUCACACCUGUGCACCUUCUGUAGUUCUGUGGCUGGGGGGACUCUGUCCUCCCACCGUGGUUCUGCAUCUUCACACACACACACUGUAAUAAGGUCUCAUGGAAUGUAUACCGCGUUUAACGCAAUAUAAUACAACUUUCAGCAACGGAUCUCUUGGCUCUCGCAUCGAUGAAGAACGCAGCGAAAUGCGAUAAGUAAUGUGAAUUGCAGAAUUCAGUGAAUCAUCGAAUCUUUGAACGCACCUUGCGCCCUUUGGCUAUUCCGAUGGGCAUGCCUGUUUGAGUAUCAUGAACACCUCAACUCUCAUGGUUUGCCAUGAUGAGAUUGGACUUUGGGGGUCUUGCUGGCCUGUUGUCAGCUCCUCUCAAAUGAAUCAGCUUCCCAGUGCUUGGUGGCAUCACAGGUGUGAUAACUAUCUACGCUUGUGAGUCCAUACCAGAUAACCUUCAGCGAUGGGGGUUCGCUGGGGCUCAUAAAUGUCUCUCCUCAGUGAGGACAGCUCUUUGAAUGUUUGAUCUCAAAUCAGGUAGGACUACCCGCUGAACUUAAGCAUAUCAAUAAGCGGAGGAAAAGAAACUAACAAGGAUUCCCCUAGUAACUGCGAGUGAAGCGGGAAGAGCUCAAAUUUAAAAUCUGGCGU
rnacentral:rRNA from 1 species